CACUGACCGUGUAAAUGUAGCGUAAUCAAUAGCCAAUUAAUUGUUGGCCGGUAUGAAUGGCGUCACGAAGGCCCUACUGUCUUAAGAGGACUCUCCAUGAAAUUGAAUUCGUAGUGAAGAUGCUACGUCCAUAUUGUAAGACGAAAAGACCCCAUUGAGCUUUACUAAAAUCUUACACGGCUUAAUUAAAUAACAAGUUAAACGUGGGAUCACCACCCUUUUAUUUUAAAAAAGCUAACAUCGCAAGGAUAAUGUAAGUUGGAUAGUUUGGUUGGGGCGACCACCUUUUAAAAGGUAACGAAGGUGAGCUUAAGGUCGAUGGCCUGACUGCAAGGGGGACACCCCGAGCCGACACGUCGAGAGACGUGGGCUAUUGUGACCCGUCAUCUUAGCGUGGAAUAGUUGACGAUCAACGAAUAAAUGCUA
rnacentral:rRNA from 1 species